rnacentral:RNase_P_RNA from 1 species
GUCGGAUGGUCCGUCGCGUACAUUUAUAUAAUGUAGGAGGAAAGUCCGGGCAGCAUAGGGCAAAUCGCUUCUUAAUGGGAAGUUGUCUGUGAAGGCAAAUUCGUGUAGAAGAAAAUAACCGCCUUAUAUUUAAUAUAAGGUAAGGGUGAGAAGGUGAGGUAAGAGCUUACCGGUUGUGGGGUGACUCACAAGCCGUACACAUCGAUUGCUGAAAGUUCAUGUAAACUGGCGUUAGAGGGCGGCCCGUCCGAGCGUAGCGCGCCAGAGGGUGGAACGAUACAGUUUAUUGGUGACAAUAAAUGCGGAUAAAUGACGGACACACUCUUUUGUGUACAGAACCCGGCUUAUAGUUCGACUGC